ACCCCAGCCUGCACACCGAGGGUGCAGGGCGCAGCAGGGCAUGCCUUGAGGCGCUGCCCUCGCCUGCACUGCCCUCGUGCUGACUGCAGAAAUUCCUGGUCGCCAAGCCCUUUGGCUGUUUUCUGCCCAGGGCGGGCUGUGGGCACCCCUGACUCGUGCACCGAGGGUGUGUCCCCAGUCGGCGGGCAGAAGCACACACUCAGCUUGCCCGGCGGAACCCCACCUGACUAGCCUCAUGGGGCUGCACCACUAACUGCGCCCUGUCUCCACUUUGAGCCCCAUGGGCUCUUACCUAGGUUCCUGACUGUUACCUCCUGGCUCUGCUCACCAAAGCUGUUAUCGGAUGGUGUGGUGGCCAGUGGUCCUUUCCAGGCUCUUGCUGUCCAUUCAAAGAAUUGAACGGGACAACCAAUGGACAGAAACAUUCAACCAUUAUUUAAGUGUUUAGGCUCAACAGCAACCUUGUUAUGGCCUGGACUGUCCCAGAUGCCUCCCCUGAAGCCCAUCAGCUUAUGUAUGUCUCGGGCCAAGCCCAGGGUAGGAAGCCCAGGGCAGAAGGGGAUCUGCUUCUCUUCUAAUGAAUGGAAUUCCGAGAUCAGAGGCAAAGGGCAUAGAUGUGUCAUCUAACAAAGGGAAGAAAUGAACAGUGGAGAACAGAGGAUCUAUAUAUAUCAAGAAGCACCAUUUAUUGUAAGUAUUAUACGUUCAUUUAUUAUCACUAUAAGUCCUCCUCCUUGAAUUCUUACAUUUAAAUAAAUACCAGUUGAAAGACUUUGUGGUUUUCUCACUCACAGAUUGCAUGUGUGGACAAGUGCCCUAACACACAUACACACACACACACACACACACAGAGGCACGCACACACACACACACAGGCACACCUUCAGGGCCCUGGAAGAUCUUAGCAGCAGGCAGGCAUUAAACACAGAAAAUGACUUGGUUGAUGUUCUGGGACAGUCAGCUCAGAGACCAUG
rnacentral:lncRNA from 1 species